AUUGAACGCUGGCGGCAGGCCUAACACAUGCAAGUCGAGCGAGAGGCGGACGGGGGAGUAAUGUAUGGGGACUGCCCGCUAGAGGGGGAUAAAUAUUGGAAACGGUAGCUAAUACCGCACACUAUAGGGUAACACAUAUGUGAUUAGCUAGUAGGUGAGGUAAUGGCCCACCAAGGCGACGCUCCCUAGCUGGUCUGUGAGGAUGAUCAGCCACACUGGGACUGAGACACGGCCCAGACUCCUACGGAGGCAGCAGUGGGGAAUAUUGCACAAUGGGCGCAAGCCUGAUGCAGCCAUGCCGCGUGUAUGAAGAAGGCCCUAGGGUUGUAAAGUACUUUCAGUCGGGAGGCGUUACCGACAGAAGAAGCACCGGCUAACUCCGUGCCAGCCGCCGCGGUAAUAC
rnacentral:rRNA from 1 species